CCAACGAGUUACGUGCACUAGCGAGGUUAAGUGGAAGACACGGAGCCGAAGCGAAAGCGAGUCUUAAUAGGGCGGAUAGUUAGUGUACGUAGACCCGAAACCGCAGUGAUCUACCCAUGUCCAGGUUGAAGCGCAGGUAAAAUUGCGUGGAGGACCGAACCUGUGAGCGUUGAAAAGCUUUAGGAUGAGAUGUGGGUAGAGGUGAAAUUCCAAUCGAACGCGGAGAUAGCUGGUUCUCCCCGAAAUAGCUUUAGGGCUAGCCUCAAGUAGUAAGUAUAGGCGGUAGAGCACUGAUCGGGCUAGGGGCCAUAAAGGUUACCGAACCCUGUCAAACUCCGAAUGGUUAUACUGCAGAGCUUGGGAGUCAGACUACGAGUGAUAAGAUCCGUGGUCAAAAGGGAAACAGCCCAGACCACCAGCUAAGGUCCCAAAUGCCGUACUAAGUGGAAAAGGAUGUGGGGUCUCGAAAACAACCAGGAUGUUGGCUCAGAAGCAGCCACCAUUUAAAGAGUGCGUAAUAGCUCACUGGUCGAGAGACCCUGCGCCGAAGAUUACCGGGGCUAAAGUACGGAACCGAAGCUGUGGCUGUGUACGAAAGUACACGGGGUAGGGGAGCGUUCCCACAGGGUUGAAGUUGUGCUGAAAGGCAUGGUGGACUUGUGGGAAGUGAGAAUGUUGGUAUGAGUAGCGAAAAGAAAGGUGAGAAUCCUUUCCACCGAAAGCAUAAGGAUUCCUGGGCAACGAUCGUCGUCCCAGGGUAAGUCGGGACCUAAUCCGAGGCAGAGAGCGUAGGAGAUGGACAACUGGUUGAUAUUCCAGUACCGGCAGCGAUUGUUUGAGCGAUGGAGUGACACAGGAGGGCAGGCAGGCAGGAGAUUGGUAGUUCCUGUAGAAGCGUGUAGGAUGGGUUGCAGGCAAAUCCGCAACCUGUAAGUCUGAGGCGUGACCUGGAGUUUCCGCAUGGAGACGAAGCUGCUGACCCCACACUGUCGAGAAAAGCUUCUAGUUAGAGAAUUACCGCCCGUACCGUAAACCGACACAGGUAUGCGGGGAGAGAAUCCUAAGGUGCGCGGGAGAACCCUCGUUAAGGAACUCGGCAAAAUGUACCCGUAACUUCGGGAUAAGGGUAGCCGCUGUUGUGAAGUCUGAACAGACGGAGCAUGAGGCGGUCGCAGAGAAGAGGCCCAAGCGACUGUUUACCACAAACACAGGUGCCUGCUAAAGAGAAAUCUGACGUAUAGGUGCUGACACCUGCCCAGUGCCGGAAGGUUAAGGAAGGAUGUCCGGAGCAAUCCAAAGCAUUCGACCGAAGCCCCGGUGAACGGCGGCCGUAACUAUAACGGUCCUAAGGUAGCGAAAUUCCUUGUCGGGUAAG
rnacentral:rRNA from 1 species